rnacentral:ncRNA from 1 species
AAGAUGACAUUGACGGGGAAAAGUAGCUUGUUAUCCGUUCUCAGAGAGCCGGUGUUUGGUGGGAGUCGGUAGCGGAGAACAAGUGAACUCGCUCCUGAGUCGCUGGACGCCCUUCACUGGGCAUUCUGACGUUUACCCACGUUAUCGGGUAUCAAGUGAGCGUAUUUCGUAAGCAAACGCUAAUUUGGGUGGUACCGCGGGAAAUAUAACUAAGUAAUCAACCUCUCGUCCCUAAC